CCUACGGGAGGCAGCAGUGGGGAAUAUUGCACAAUGGGGGAAACCCUGAUGCAGCGACGCCGCGUGAGUGAAGAAGUAUUUCGGUAUGUAAAGCUCUAUCAGCAGGGAAGAAAAUGACGGUACCUGAUUAAGAAGCCCCGGCUAACUACGUGCCAGCAGCCGCGGUAAUACGUAGGGGGCAAGCGUUAUCCGGAUUUACUGGGUGUAAAGGGAGCGUAGACGGCAGCACAAGUCUGGAGUGAAAUGCCGGGGCGUAACCUCGGAACUGCUUUGGAAACUGUGUAGCUAGAGUGCAGGAGAGGUAAGUGGAAUUCCAAGGGUAGCGGUGAAAGGCGUAGAUAUGAGGAGGAACACCAGUGGCGAAGGCGGCUUACUGGACUGUAACUGACGUUGAGGCUCGAAAGCGUGGGGAGCAAACAGGAUUAGAUACCCUAGUAGUC
rnacentral:rRNA from 1 species